ACCCUUUGUGACAUACCUAUAACUGUUGCUUCGGCGGGUAGGGUCUCCGCGACCCUCCCGGCCUCCCGCCUCCGGGCGGGUCGGCGCCCGCCGGAGGAUAACCAAACUCUGAUUUAACGACGUUUCUUCUGAGUGGUACAAGCAAAUAAUCAAAACUUUUAACAACGGAUCUCUUGGUUCUGGCAUCGAUGAAGAACGCAGCGAAAUGCGAUAAGUAAUGUGAAUUGCAGAAUUCAGUGAAUCAUCGAAUCUUUGAACGCACAUUGCGCCCGCCAGCAUUCUGGCGGGCAUGCCUGUUCGAGCGUCAUUUCAACCCUCAAGCUCUGCUUGGUGUUGGGGCCCUACAGCUGAUGUAGGCCCUCAAAGGUAGUGGCGGACCCUCUCGGAGCCUCCUUUGCGUAGUAACUUUACGUCUCGCACUGGGAUCCGGAGGGACUCUUGCCGUAAAACCCCCAAUUUUCCAAAGGUUGACCUCGGAUCAGGUAGGAAUACCCGCUGAACUUAAGCAUAUCAA
rnacentral:rRNA from 1 species